AUAAGUAAUAUAAGUGCACCAAUCUACCUGAUUUAAAUUAACCUAAUAAUAAAUAAAUUCAUAAACUAAGCAAAUAUAUUAUCUGCCUGUUUAACAAAAACAUCUCCUAAGUUUAAUAUUUUAGGUAGAGCCUGCUCACUGAUUUUAAAAGCCGCAGUAUACUGACUGUGCUAAGGUAGCAUAAUAAUUAGCUAUUUAAUUUGUAGCUGGAAUGAAUGGUCUGACAAGAUAAUAACUUUCUUAUUUCUGAAUUAAAUUAAUUAAAGAAUAAAAAAGUUCUUAUUUUAUAGAAAGACGAUAAGACCCUAAAACCUUAUAUGUGUAUUAUAUUUACUGGGGCGGUAGUUUUUAAUCCAAAAAUUUCACUAACAUUAUGAAUGAUUCUGAGUACUCGUAUAAUUCAAAAAGGUACUUUAGGGAUAACAGCAUAAUUUUUAUUUAGAGUCCUUAUCGACAUAAAAGAUUAUGACCUCGAUGUUGAAUUGAUUUAACUCUUUGGGGCAGAUUCUUAAGUAGUAGGUCUGUUCGACCUUCGAAUAAUCACAUGAUUUGAGUUCAGACCGGCGUAAGCCAGGUUGGUUUCUAUCUUCUAUUUAACUACAUACUUACUCAGUACGUAAGGACCUUUAAGUAUUAAUUUUU
rnacentral:rRNA from 1 species